CAGUGUCUCGCGAACCGAUCUAAACUGUUGACCGUACUCGCAAAAUCGUCGUUCUGAAUAUUCGAUAUGGUUUACCUAAGUUUUCUGUUGGUAUUGUGCCUGACUUGUCAUCUCGCUCGCGGUGUCGGCCUCCACGGAUUUCAUUUUCACGGCCUGGAAGAGCCACGAUCUUUGAGUGAAUCGGAAAAUAUAACCGAGGCAUGGAUCCAACAACCUGUUGAUCAUUUCAAUCCUCGCGACAAUCGCACUUGGUCGAUGCGUUACCUUGAAAACUCGAGAUAUUUCAAGAGAGACGGGCCGAUUUUGAUCAUGAUUGGAGGAGAAUGGGCAAUAUCCAGGGGUUUCUUAGAAACUGGUUUGAUGUACGGUCUAGCCUCCACUCACAACGCGAUGAUGUAUUACACCGAGCAUCGUUAUUACGGCAAAAGUAAACCGACCAAAGAUACCAGCCCGGCAAGUUUGCAAUAUUUAAGCGUGGAGCAAGCACUGGCGGACUUGGCGCGUUUCAUCGAGACGAGGAAAAGGAGGGAAGGAUUCGAGAACAGCACCGUGGUCGUUUUCGGCGGAUCUUACGCUGGAAGCGUGGCAGCUUGGCUCAGGUUGAAGUAUCCUCAUCUGGUUCAAGGUGCCCUGGCCAGCAGUGCCCCGAUCUUCGCGAAAGCCGAUUUCUACGAGUACUACGAAGUGGUGACCGAAUCGCUGCGUAGAUACGGUGAGAAAUGCGUGGACGAGGUCAAAGCUGCGUUCAAGGCGGUCGAAGAGUUACUCACUGCUGAAGAUGGCCCGCAAAAAUUGAAACGACAUUUCAAUUUGUGCGACGUGCCCGAUGCAAAUUCGCCCAACGAUCGAGAACAUUUUAUGAAUAUUCUAGUCGAGGCAUUUGGUGCUACCGUUCAAUACGACAAGGUGGAGAAUGGUCGAACACAGAUCGCCGCUUGCUGCGAAAUCAUGACCAAUGUGCGUUUGGGCACUCCUCUUCAGAGAUUGGCGCAUUUCGUGUCAAAUGGAAAGAAAUGUUUGGAAAAUAAUUACGAGAAGUUUGUGAGACUGUACAGAAACGAGGCAUGGGGCGCGCAACCUGACAUAAUGAGACAAUGGUCCUAUCAGACUUGCACGGAAUACGGUUAUUACCAAACGACAAGCUCAAACAAAACGAGCUUUGGAUCCUCAUUGUCGUUGCGUUAUUUUACGGACAUUUGCAGAGACUUGUACGGAGAGUAUUACAAUAACGAAUUCUUGAACGUCAGAAUCAAAAGAACGAACGUAAUGUACGGCGGUUUACGGCCAGAUUUGCGAAAUGUUAUUUUCACCAACGGGAACGUCGAUCCAUGGCAUGCUCUGUCCGUUCUCCAGGACUUAAAUACACUUUCUCCCGCCAUAUUUAUCAAUGGAUCGUCGCAUUGUCGCGAUUUGUACAGUGACUCGGACACGGAUGUGCAAGAUCUCACCCAAGCUAGAGCGAAAGUACGCAAAAUCAUUGGCAGCUGGAUUUCUUCUUAAACUUGUGAUGAUGUUGUUCGUCGUAUUGGCAAAUAAAAGAGAGCGAUAUACAGAUCAACGACAUGCCGAAAUCGAGGGCAAAUUUCAACGACGGAUGAGUGUUGAUCGCGUGAACCUCCUUGUGACGCAUGGGUAUAGUUCGCUAAAAAUCAUCGUUACGCU